GUGGUAAAGUGAAAGGUUAUGAAAAUGUUCCAGCACAAAAUAACAAGAAGUGUCUGACUCUGACAGUAAAUAUUCAUAUCAGAUGCUUUAAAUAGUGCUGCAUAUACAUAUAAGGUGUUAGUUCUACAGUUCAGGAUAGUUCAGUUCUCACCUACUCAUCAUGUUGAAGCUGAUCCUCUCUGUGACCGUCCUCUGGACAUUCUUCAGUCAAGCUGCAGCACUUGAUUGUAAAAGUUGCAAUGGUACAUGUUCAACUGAAACUACAGUUACAUGUUCUACAGAAACUAUGUGUGUAACUGCCACCAUCACAGGUUGGAUAUUUUUAUUUCCAUGCAUUAUGUUGUAAAUACAAGAUAAACUGUUUAAUUAAUAUGAACCACCUUUAUUUUGUAAUUGCAGAGACAGGACUUGGUUUACCUGUUGUAACACGAUACUACAAAGCGUGUGCAUCAUCAGCUCUGUGUCCAAUGACAGGCUCUCAAACAUAUGAACUUGACUUGGGUCGUCCACAUGCACUGAUAUCUGCUGAGUGCUGUGACACUGAUGGGUGUAACAAUAAUACCUUACCUGCACACACUCAGUCAGACACUACAACUGGUCUGCGGUGUUUCAUCUGUCUUUUUGGCGAUUGUGGUUUUUCAACCCCCUGCGUUGGUGACGAGACCCUUUGUAUUCAAGGAACACGUAAGUCAUAUGAUAACUGAAAAUCAGCUUUAUAUCUAUUACUGCAGUUUAGCUUUUUAGGAUAUUUUUCUUUAGCUUUUUUGUUCUUUUAAUGUAAAUGAUCAAUCAGUAAACAACUCAUUUAUU
rnacentral:lncRNA from 1 species